rnacentral:rRNA from 1 species
GACGAACGCUGGCGGCGUGCUUAAUACAUGCAAGUCGAACGGAAAGGCCCUACUUUUGUGGGGUGCUCGAGAGGCGAACAGGUGAGUAACACGUGAGUAACCUGCCCUUGACUUUGUGGUAACUUUAGGGAACUGGGGCUCAUACCGGAUAGGAGCUCCUGAUGCAUGGUGGGGAAUGGUAAGUUUCGGCGGUUGGGGAUGGACUCGCGGCUUAUGAGCUUGUUGGUGUGGUAGGUGCUUACCAAGGUUUUGACGGGUAGCCGGCCUGAGAGGGUGACCGGGCUCAUUGGGACUGAGAGACGGCCCAGACGCCUACGGGAGGCAGCAGUGGGGAGUAUUGCGCAAUGGGCGGAAGCCUGAUGCAGCGACGCCGCGUGCGGGAUGACGGCCUUCUGGUUGUAAACAGCUUUCGCCGGUGACGAAGCGUGAGUGACGGUAAUGGGUAAAGAAGCACCGGCUAACUACGUG